UGGGGAAUUUUGGACAAUGGGGGAAACCCUGAUCCAGCCAUCCCGCGUGUGCGAUGAAGGCCUUCGGGUUGUAAAGCACUUUUGGCAGGAAAGAAACGUCAUGGGUUAAUACCCCGUGAAACUGACGGUACCAGCAGAAUAAGCACCGGCUAACUACGUGCCAGCAGCCGCGGUAAUACGUAGGGUGCAAGCGUUAAUCGGAAUUACUGGGCGUAAAGCGUGCGCAGGCGGUUCGGAAAGAAAGAUGUGAAAUCCCAGAGCUCAACUUUGGAACUGCAUUUUUAACUACCGGGCUAGAGUGUGUCAGAGGGAGGUGGAAUUCCGCGUGUAGCAGUGAAAUGCGUAGAUAUGCGGAGGAACACCGAUGGCGAAGGCAGCCUCUUGGGAUAACACUGACGCUCAUGCACGAAAGCGUGGGGAGCAAACAGG
rnacentral:rRNA from 1 species